rnacentral:rRNA from 1 species
UCGGGAAUAUUGGUCAAUGGGGGAAACCCUGAACCAGCAAUGCCGCGUGAGUGAUGAAGGUUUUCGGAUCGUAAAGCUCUGUCUUUGGGGACGAAUAAAUGACGGUACCCGAGGAGGAAGCCCCGGCUAACUACGUGCCAGCAGCCGCGGUAAUACGUAGGGGGCGAGCGUUGUCCGGAAUUACUGGGCGUAAAGGGCGAGUAGGCGGUUUAAUAAGUCAGAUGUGAAAUACCAGGGCUUAACCCUGGGGCUGCAUUUGAAACUAUUAGACUUGAGUGCAGGAGAGGAAAGUGGAAUUCCCAGUGUAGCGGUGAAAUGCGUAGAUAUUGGGAGGAACACCAGUGGCGAAGGCGACUUUCUGGACUGUAACUGACGCUGAGGCGCGAAAGCGUGGGGAGCAAACAGG